rnacentral:rRNA from 1 species
UUUUAUUAGAAUUUAUUAAUAAUAUAGUCUGCUCAAUGAAUAAUUAAAUAGCCGCUAUUAUUUUUAGUGCUAAGGUAGCAUAAUCAUUUGUCUUUUAAUUAAAGACUAGAACAAAGGAUUUUACAUUUAAAUUUAUUUUUUAAAUUUAUUUAUUAAAAUUACUUUAAAUGUUAAAAAACAUUUAUUUUUUAAAAAGACGAUAAGACCCUUUUGAACUUAACUUAAGUUUAACUGGGGCAGUUAAUUAAUUAAAAUUUUAAUACCAGAAAAUAAAUAAAUGACCUAAUAAAAUUAAUUUAAUGAUCAAGUUACCAAAGGGAUAACAGCGUAAUAAAAUUUUAAAGUUCUUAUUAAAAAUAAAGUUUACGACCUCGAUGUUGACUUAAUUUCCUAAUUAACGCAAUAGUUAAACUAAGGAAGUCUGUUCGACUUUUAAAAAAUUACAUGA